CGACGGCUAUCGAGACUCGGGAGGAACCGAGAAAACAAGCCACUGGUGAUCGCUGCCGGAGGUUCCGAUGGAUGUGCGUGGAUUUACGUCCCGUUUGUCAAGUUCGCGAAGAAAGAAGCCGUUCCGUUUGAGGUUAUCCGGCGUAAGUUUUAAGUCGCGAUGUUGGGUUUCAAUUCGCUGUGGUGAUGGGGAAAAAACAGGAAAACUGGGUGUUUUUGAGAAGUUGGACUUUCGGCCGGUUUUACUGCGAAGUUCCAGACUGUUGUGACCAAUAAAUUCCGGGGUCGACUUCGGGGUUUCGAUAGACCACUCGGAGGAUGCCAGCAGACUGGUUGUGUUGAACGCUAUCAGUAAAGUUUGACGAAAACAUCUUGGAUACUGUGAUUCCCUUCCUGGUGAACAAAGUCAAGACAACGCCGUACAACAAGACCCAAAUUCGCCACCACCAAGAAAUUUUUUGAACAGUUCGCCCAACAUCAGCAAUCAAAGCUUGCAUAAGCCACAAGGCCAACAUUGUGGUCCCGUUCGACCGGAAGCCGGAACGGACGGAGUGGCAUACGAGCACGACUUUGGAACGGGACUGGAGCUGGUGACGGAGUUGUACUACCACGGAACGGAAAACCUGCACGACAUGAUGAAGCCGCUGUUUUUAACGGCGGAUUCGCAGCUGAAACGGCUGCAGUUAGCAUUUAAUAUGAAGGUUCCACAUGAGUUCUGCUUCAAUCUGGAGAAGCGUGAUGAUGAGGCCAUCGGUGCAACAGAUUUUGAUUACUUCCUUGUGCGACAACAGCUGCUUCUUAGCCGGUCCUCAUUGGCAGAUCUUCACGGAUGUUCAAACCAGAGAUUGUUUUUUGUUAAAUAGGAUCAGCAAUCAACGUUUGCUUCCUGCUUCUCCUGGGAGGCGACUGAAAUAGCUGUGGAAUAUGAGACAACGCAGGUACGUCCGUCUCAGCUGGUUUCAACGAUCAGGGACCACACUUCUAUGCAGGCGUGCCCGACGCUUGAGGUGAACCGCCAGUGGACGAUAACCAGCCACAACCACCAGUCGUCGCAAUCGAGUUCUAAGCGUCGAAGAUGAACUUCGUCAACAGCUUUUCGACGUACUGGUAAGUCAGCAGCAGAAUAGUUUAAAUCUUGCAAAGUUGUUUAACGUUAGCAGGUGUUUCAGAUCGCGACCAGCGGAAUCAAGACCGGUCGAAGGUAAUGCUCUGGUUUAAUGAUGAUAUUUCAAAACAAUUUUUGCACAAUGAACUGUUUCAUUGUUAAAUUAAACAGAAUUCAAAUUAUAAGAGCAAUAGCUUUAUAAAUUACAAAUUGCUCCGUUGAAUCUAGAAAUCCUAAAUAACAUCGGAUUCUAGAUUCAACGGAGCAAAAAAAAAUUUUUUCUUUGGUAAAUUUACAUUAUUUUCAUUGGAAAAUUACACGAUUUUACAAGAUUUUG